CUCAUGCUGAAUGGAAGUUUACUUUUGCAAAGGAGGAAACCUAAAAUGGGAGGAGCUAUGAAAAUGGAGCAGGACUGGAAGCUCCCAGCAUGACUUUGCAGCACUCUUCUUCCUUGUAAAGAUGCAGCUGAGGAAAAGAUCAAAUGCUUUACUGCGGAUUGGUAUCUGUUACCUUUUUGGAGUUGUGACUCCAGCACCAAACACAGCCCUUUGAGAGCAUCACGAGGUCUGCAAGGGCUACAGUGUUAUCUCCAGCUUCCACAAAGUCAUGCUUUUGCAUAUGCCUUGGUAUACAGCCCGGUGUCAGAUGGGAGACUCGUACCUUGUUUGGUUUUCAGUUCUCGUAAUUCACUCUUCGUUCACCUGGGAAAGUUCAUUCUCUCUGAGAGGCAGUUAUGCGUACAAGUAUUCACCCUGAGUGCUUGUGUGAGACAACAGCGCUGAUUUACCUGAGAGGAAAAAUACAAAUUACACAACGUAUUUAAUUUGGUGAUUUUUACGAAUUGUCUGUUUCAGUUCUGUUAUUUUUUCACUGUGAGCAAGACAGUAUGUGAAUAUGUAUGAAUUCAUGCUAUGUGGUAUCAUACUGCUUAUGCGGAUGGGGGGGACGUUUGUCUCUGCUUAGAGAUUCUUUCCUGGGUUGGAAAAAAUAAA